rnacentral:lncRNA from 1 species
UUACACCCGUGGCCCACGAAAUCUGUCCUAUUUACGAGUGAAAUAAAGCAUCGUGAAUAAAAAUUUCCAUUUCCUUUGUGAUUUUUGAUGCCGCCAUAAACGUGCACCGUUGUGCGUCGGUCGCAUCGCCAUGCGUUUUAUAUCGCGCUCUUUACAAGAGCUUAUUUUUGUUAUCAGUUUCUCGAGCAGUUGAGGACAGAAAGUGCAUACUGUCACGUCUGGUAUAGGUUAAUCAGAAUUUUUACGAGCCGCUCCGAAACUCCGGGCAAUCAACAUUAACGUUUACUGCCAGAUACUAAUGCGACGAGGUAUCCGCGAUCCAUCAGCGUGUGGCUGCAUUUUAUUAGUCCACCUAUACACGAUGAGUUUAGAUCGACUUUAAUCGUUCGCCACACCCAGACUCAUAAUUCUGCACCGUUUAAUCUACCGUUCUGAUCUAAUAACUCCUUCGCGUCCAAAUAUGCAGUUCCUACUUUCAUCGAUCUCCUACUUGGAUUUAAUCUUCUUCUGGAGAACACUUGUUCCGGCAACGGUAACUACUAGUCAAAUGGUAUCCGUGCAGAGAGAUUUGAUUGACCGAGCAUUGUCCGGGGUGAAAGGAGGUAAAAUUCAUCGAACUGACCAAAGUCGACGGAGAAAUGGUUAAAGGCGAAUAGAAACUCUUAGUAUACUGUCGGAGGUUUCACCGGCCUCUCGAACAUCAAUAACGGACAAGAUCAGAACUUAAGGCAAUUGCGCACUGAUACAACAAAGGGCAUCGGCUAACGCGGUUAUACCUCGAUGCCGAUGAGACUCCUCGCUCCUCGGAUAUUUAUUGGACACCCGUUCUGCGCUGAUGUGACCUGAAAGCAGAAAGCGAAGUUAGCGUACAGAAUUUUUUGGUGUUUCUUAAAUUAUUAAGAGGUGUAAGCUUCAUUAUUUGGUGACAAUUUUAUUUUAUAAAAAAUGUUAUAAUAUUAUGUGGACCAUUUAUAAUAA